rnacentral:rRNA from 1 species
UACAGAGGGGGCAAGCGUUGUUCGGAAUUACUGGGCGUAAAGGGCGCGUAGGCGGCCCGCGCAAGCGUGCGGUGAAAGCCCGGGGCUCAACCCCGGGUCGGCCGUGCGGACUGCGGGGCUCGAGCACUGUAGGGGCAGAUGGAAUUCCGGGUGUAGCGGUGGAAUGCGUAGAGAUCCGGAAGAACACCGGUGGCGAAGGCGGUCUGCUGGGCAGUAGCUGACGCUGAGGCGCGACAGCGUGGGGAGCAAACAGG